CGUACACUCCUACGGGAGGCAGCAGUGGGGAAUAUUGGACAAUGGGCGCAAGCCUGAUCCAGCCAUGCCGCGUGAGUGAUGAAGGCCCUAGGGUUGUAAAGCUCUUUCACCGGUGAAGAUAAUGACGGUAACCGGAGAAGAAGCCCCGGCUAACUUCGUGCCAGCAGCCGCGGUAAUACGAAGGGGGCUAGCGUUGUUCGGAUUUACUGGGCGUAAAGCGCACGUAGGCGGACUAUUAAGUCAGGGGUGAAAUCCCGGGGCUCAACCCCGGAACUGCCUUUGAUACUGGUAGUCUUGAGUUCGAGAGAGGUGAGUGGAAUUCCGAGUGUAGAGGUGAAAUUCGUAAAUAUUCGGAGGAACACCAGUGGCGAAGGCGGCUCACUGGCUCGAUACUGACGCUGAGGUGCGAAAGCGUGGGGAGCAAACAGGAUUAGAAACCCCUGUAGUCCCA
rnacentral:rRNA from 1 species